rnacentral:rRNA from 1 species
AGCAGCCGCGGUAAUUCCAGCUCCAAUAGCGUAUAUUAAAGUUGUUGCAGUUAAAAAAGCUCGUAGUUGAAUUUCGGGAUCGACAGGUUGGUCGCGCCUUCGGUGUGUACUGGUCUAGUCGGUUUCUCCCUUCUGACGAACCACGAUGUCAUUAAUUUGGUGUCGUGGGAAAUCAGGACUGUUACUUUGAAAAAAUUAGAGUGUUUAAAGCAGGCAUUAGCUUGAAUACAUUAGCAUGGAAUAAUGAAAUAGGACGUUUGAGCCUAUUUUGUUGGUUUCUAGGAUCGACGUAAUGAUUAAUAGGGAUAGUUGGGGGCAUUAGUAUUCAAUUGUCAGAGGUGAAAUUCUUGGAUUUAUUGAAGACUAACUACUGCGAAAGCAUUUGCCAAGGAUGUUUUCAUUAAUCAAGAACGAAAGUUAGGGGAUCGAAGACGAUCAGAUACCGUCGUA